GCAAGUCGAACGGUGAAGCAGGAGCUUGCUCUUGUGGAUCAGUGGCGAACGGGUGAGUAACACGUGAGCAACCUGCCCCGGACUCUGGGAUAAGCGCUGGAAACGGCGUCUAAUACUGGAUAUGAGACGUGACCGCAUGGUCAACGUUUGGAAAGAUUUUUCGGUCUGGGAUGGGCUCGCGGCCUAUCAGCUUGUUGGUGAGGUAAUGGCUCACCAAGGCGUCGACGGGUAGCCGGCCUGAGAGGGUGACCGGCCACACUGGGACUGAGACACGGCCCAGACUCCUACGGGAGGCAGCAGUGGGGAAUAUUGCACAAUGGGCGAAAGCCUGAUGCAGCAACGCCGCGUGAGGGAUGACGGCCUUCGGGUUGUAAACCUCUUUUAGCAGGGAAGAAGCGAGAGUGACGGUACCUGCAGAAAAAGCGCCGGCUAACUACGUGCCAACAGCCGCGGUAAUACGUAGGGCGCAAGCGUUAUCCGGAAUUAUUGGGCGUAAAGAGCUCGUAGGCGGUCUGUCGCGUCUGCUGUGAAAUCUGGAGGCUCAACCUCCAGCCUGCAGUGGGUACGGGCAGACUAGAGUGCGGUAGGGGAGAUUGGAAUUCCUGGUGUAGCGGUGGAAUGCGCAGAUAUCAGGAGGAACACCGAUGGCGAAGGCAGAUCUCUGGGCCGUAACUGACGCUGAGGAGCGAAAGGGUGGGGAGCAAACAGGCUUAGAUACCCUGGUAGUCCACCCCGUAAACGUUGGGAACUAGUUGUGGGGUCCUUUCCACGGAUUCCGUGACGCAGCUAACGCAUUAAGUUCCCCGCCUGGGGAGUACGGCCGCAAGGCUAAAACUCAAAGGAAUUGACGGGGACCCGCACAAGCGGCGGAGCAUGCGGAUUAAUUCGAUGCAACGCGAAGAACCUUACCAAGGCUUGACAUACACGAGAACGGGCCAGAAAUGGUCAACUCUUUGGACACUCGUGAACAGGUGGUGCAUGGUUGUCGUCAGCUCGUGUCGUGAGAUGUUGGGUUAAGUUCCGCAACGAGCGCGACCCUCGUUCUAUGUUGCCAGCACGU
rnacentral:rRNA from 1 species